rnacentral:rRNA from 1 species
CAUGUAUAUGAGUUCAAAAACUCAUUUUUAUCAUCAAUCAUUGAGAAAGAACAAACCCUAGCCAAAUUUGACCUUUAAAGUACUUUUGAUUCAACUGUAGAAAUUCCAAAGUAAUCCGAUAACUGCGUUUGUCAUCUCGAGAGCUUCGAACGACACCUAUUAUUUGUGUAAANNNNNNNNNNNNNNNNNNNNNNNNNNNNNNNNNNNNNNNNNNNNNNNNNNNNNNAAAGUAAUCCGAUAACUGUGUUUGUCAUCUCGAGAGCUUCGAACGGCACCUAUUAUUUGUGCAAAUAGGAUUGCAUAAUAAAGAGGUGAAUUAUAAGGUAUGAAUAUUGUUUACCUUUGUUCUUUUCCAUAUGUAUAUGUGUGAUAGAGGAUUAUAUGUAUUGGAUGUUAUUGAAAGGUGAUGGAAAUAGGGUUAUGGACUAUUUUGCAUGGUUUGGUUGUAUCGAAUUGUGGAAGAUGGAUUUGGUAAUUGAGUUAUGGAAGGUAGAUAUAGUGAUAUACUAUUGAAUUGAUUAUUAUUUGUCUAUGGCUCAAUUUGGUUUGAUGGAUUAGUCGGAAGGAUAAAUGAAUCUAAACUUGAUAUUGGAAGAUGUUGUAUGAAUAUGCAUGGCAUGUGAAUGUAAUUGGAGUAUAAGAGGGUUAAGGUGACACCCUUUAUAGUGUAAUUAAGUCUUACUACUUAACCACUAGUUUGGUGAAUUCAAAUAAUUGAAUUGUAACAUUUGGUUGCUAAUACUAGAUUGCUAUAUAUGUUCAUUGUAGAUAAGUAAUCUGAAAAGACAGGAAGUCCAUUCGGGACUAGUAUUGAAGGUUGACAGUCAGGUAUGUAAAGCAUACUCUAUUACAAUUUAUUCACUUUUUUCUGAUUUCUAUUGAGCUCCUAUAUCAUAUGUGAUUAUCUACAGCUUUACAUACUUAGUACAUAUUCUGUACUGACGUCCCCCACAGGGGACCUACAUUUCAUGCUACAGGCACAGGUACCUCAGCUCAUACACCAUACAAGUAGGAGUCAGGAUAUCCAGCUGCUUUUGGUGAGCUCCAGUUUGCUUCGGGGAUUUCCGUGUCAUAUCCAGUCACUUUUGAUAUUGUAUAAAAGUUAGUUAUAUGGCAGGAUGUGUCCCGACCUUAGUUAAACUAUGUGUAUUGUCUAGAGGAUUUGUAGACCUAAUGUACAAUCAAGGUGGUGUUUUGUUAAUAGACGUGAUGGCUCCAACGGCCAUGUAUUGUAUAUAUAUGUGUGUGUGCUCGAGCUUAUACAGGUGAUUAUUUCCUUUUAUAUGCGACAUGAUGUUAUACGACUUUUGGGUUGUCAUAGAGGUAUGCAUGGGAAGAAUAAGGUUAUGAGCUGGUUCUCCUGGGCUUCCUCGGUUACGGGUGCCAGACGGCAAAAUGGAUCCGUAACUUCGGGAAAAGGAUUGGCUUUGAGGGCUGGGCAUGGGGAUCCCAGUACCGAACCCGUCGGCUGUCGGUGGACUACUCGAGCUGCUUCCACGGCGAGAACGGGUCGCCGCGUGCCGGCCGGGGGACGGACUAGGAACGGUUCCUUUGGGGGCCUUUCCCGCACGUCGAACAGGCAACUCAGAACUGGUACGGACAAGGGAAAUCCGACUGUUUGAUUAAAACAAAGCAUUGCGAUGGUCCCAACAGAUGUUCACGCAAUGUGAUUUAUUCCCAGUGCUCUGAAUGUCAAAGUGAAGAAAUUCAACCAAGCGCAGGUAAACAGCGGGAGUAACUAUGACUCUCUUAAGGUAGCCAAAUGCCUCUUCAUCUAAUUAGUGAUGUGCAUGAAUGGAUUAAUGAGAUUCCCACUGUCCCUGUCUACUAUCCAGUGAAACCACAGCCAAGGGAACGGGCUUGGCAGAAUCAGUGUGGAAUGAAGACCCUGUUGAACUUGACUCUACUCCGACUUUAUGAAAUGACUUAAGAGGUGUGGUAUAAGUGGGAGCCGAAAGGCGAAAGUGAAAUACCAGUACUUUUAACGUUAGUUUACUUAUUCCGUGAAUUGGAAGUGGGCCACUGCCCCUCUUUUUGGAUCCAAGGCUCGCUCUGUGGGCCGAUCCUGGUGGAAGACAUUAUCAGGUGGGGAGUUUGGCUGAGGCAGCACAUCUGUUAAAAGAUAAUACAGGUGUCCUAAGAUGAGCUCAACGAGAACAGAAAUAUCGUAUGGAACAGAAGGGUAAAAGCUCAUUUGAUUCUGAUUUCCAGUACGAAUAUUAAUCGUGAGAGCGUGGCUUAACGAUCCUGUAGACCUUCGGAAUUCGAAGGUAGAGGUGUCAGAAAAGUUACCACAAGGAUAAAUGGCUUGUGGCAGCCAAGCGUUCAUAGCGAAGUUUCUUUUUAAUUCUUCGAUGUCGGCUCUUCCUAUCACUGUGAAGCAGAAUUCAGCAAGUGUUAGACUGUUCACCCACCAAUAGUGAAUGUAACCUGGGUUUAGACCGUCGUGAGACAGGUUAGUUUUACCCUACUGAUGACAGUGUCGUAGUAGUAAUUCAACCUAGUAUGAGAGGAAUCGUUGAUUCACCCAAUUGGUCUUCGCGCUUGGUUGAAAAGCCAGUGGCGCGAAGGUACCGUGUGCUGGAUUAUAACUGAACGCCUCUAAGUUAGAAUCCAGGCUAGAAGCGACGCAUGUGCCUGCCGUCCGCUUGCCGACCCGCAGUAGGGGCCUCGGCCCCCAAGGGCUCGUGUCGUUGGAUAAGCCACCGCGGUGAAAGAGUCGCGGUGGCCGCCUUGAAAUACAAUUUCCAUCGAGCGGUGGGUAGAAUCCUUUGCAGACGACUUAAAUAUGCGACGGGGUAUUGUAAGUGGCAGAGUGGCCUUGCUGCCACGAUCCACUGAGAUUCAUCCCUUUGUCUCUCCGAUUCGUCCCUCCCAUCCAA